GAGUUCUCGGCAGUUACAUGCAACCCGACGCUGUCACCAUUCAACUCAGAGGGUUUUUUAGCUAAUGCAUUUGUCUCUGCUGCUGCACAGCUUCCCUUCGUGCUUACCCUUGCUGCUAAUACUUCUAUAUCAUUUGGCUGAAGUGGGGCUGAAUGUUGUGAUACAAUUUGGGACAACUCCAACUUGAUAGCUUGUUGUAUUUG
rnacentral:lncRNA from 1 species